UAGGGAAUCUUCGGCAAUGGACGAAAGUCUGACCGAGCAACGCCGCGUGAGUGAAGAAGGUUUUCGGAUCGUAAAACUCUGUUGUUAGAGAAGAACAAGGACGUUAGUAACUGAACGUCCCCUGACGGUAUCUAACCAGAAAGCCACGGCUAACUACGUGCCAGCAGCCGCGGUAAUACGUAGGUGGCAAGCGUUGUCCGGAUUUAUUGGGCGUAAAGCGAGCGCAGGCGGUUUCUUAAGUCUGAUGUGAAAGCCCCCGGCUCAACCGGGGAGGGUCAUUGUAAACGGGGUGAAUUGAGUACAGAAGAGGAGGGAGGAAUUCCAUGUGUAGCGGUGAAAUGCGUAGAUAUAUGGAGGAACACGAGUGGCGAAGGCGGCUCUCUGGUCUGUAACUGACGCUGAGGCUCGAAAGCGUGGGGAGCAAACAGG
rnacentral:rRNA from 1 species